rnacentral:rRNA from 1 species
AGAGUUUGAUCCUGGCUCAGAUUGAACGCUGGCGGCAUGCUUUACACAUGCAAGUCGAACGGCAGCGCGGGGCAACCUGGCGGCGAGUGGCGAACGGGUGAGUAACAUAUCGGAACGUACCCAAGAGUGGGGGAUAACGUAGCGAAAGUUACGCUAAUACCGCAUACGAUCUAAGGAUGAAAGUGGGGGAUCGCAAGACCUCAUGCUCCUGGAGCGGCCGAUAUCUGAUUAGCUAGUUGGCGAGGUAAAGGCUCACCAAGGCGACGAUCAGUAGCUGGUCUGAGAGGACGACCAGCCACACUGGAACUGAGACACGGUCCAGACUCCUACGGGAGGCAGCAGUGGGGAAUUUUGGACAAUGGGCGCAAGCCUGAUCCAGCAAUGCCGCGUGAGUGAAGAAGGCCUUCGGGUUGUAAAGCUCUUUUGUCAGGGAAGAAACGGUAGAGGCUAAUAUCCUUUGCUAAUGACGGUACCUGAAGAAUAAGCACCGGCUAACUACGUGCCAGCAGCCGCGGUAAUACGUAGGGUGCAAGCGUUAAUCGGAAUUACUGGGCGUAAAGCGUGCGCAGGCGGUUUUGUAAGUCUGUCGUGAAAGCCCCGGGCUCAACCUGGGAAUUGCGAUGGAGACUGCAAGGCUUGAAUCUGGCAGAGGGGGGUAGAAUUCCACGUGUAGCAGUGAAAUGCGUAGAGAUGUGGAGGAACACCGAUGGCGAAGGCAGCCCCCUGGGUCAAGAUUGACGCUCAUGCACGAAAGCGUGGGGAGCAAACAGGAUUAGAUACCCUGGUAGUCCACGCCCUAAACGAUGUCUACUAGUUGUCGGGUUUUAAUUAACUUGGUAACGCAGCUAACGCGUGAAGUAGACCGCCUGGGGAGUACGGUCGCAAGAUUAAAACUCAAAGGAAUUGACGG